ACUGCUUAUUAAACGUUUGAUCUGCUAAAAGCAAACGUGACUGGUUUCUUUCCAGAUCUCUAUUUCAAACAUUAGCCAAGAAAUGUUACUAGAGUGCAACCAUUCUAGGAGUUUAGGAGGUAAUUCUUUGUGGACAUCCUUUACUCCAGAUCUGUUUUGUCUUGCUGCUCUAGUGCUGCAUAAUGGAAGGAAUGUGAGCUACAAAAACACACGCAUGUAUUUCCGCCUCCACCAUCCAGAAUCAUUUCAAUUGGUAUGAAAAUGACCAAAAAGGGUUCGUGAAGCAUCCAAGUCCGGGACAUGGAGACUCAAAGGGCCUAUAUUAAGGCUGCACGAUGUGAGGAAAACCUGCGAUUCGCGAUAUUAGUGAUCAAAAUAGCAAUAUAACUUGCGAUACAUGAACAAACAGCUAAAAAACCAAAAACUAUUUCACUGCAACAGUUUAAUUUAAAUAAGAGUCAACAUAACUUAAAUACUCCAAAUGGCCUUAGUCCACGUAAAAGGCCAACUUCUAACAUAGAAAGGGCUCCAUCCGAUUGGUUAACAACCAGAAGGCAACCAUCUGAUUGGUCAGAUGCAUAAAUGGAUUUAUUUGAUUCGUUAAAUACUUAAAGCUGCCAUAAGAGUGUUUUAGCACAUUUAAGGUUACCAGUUUUUUGCAAUUUUCGCCAACUUUUGCAAUAUGUGUAUUGCACAGCUUGACAUUUCUAUAACAUUAAAUUUGCGAUACAUUGUGCAGGCCUAGCCAAUAUCAUGCCUUUCUUAAACUUUUCAGAUUAUAUAUAUUGAUAUUUUCAUAUCCAUAUACUAAAGAAAAAGUUUUUUGAAAUGUUGAGUUAUUUUCACAAGCUCAUUUUCCUACGCUGAAGUAAGACGACUCGAUCUCUGAGGCUCCACCUUCCGCUCUUUGUGGGUGCCGCCCAUUUCAUGACGUCAACCUAGAGCCGGCCUCAAAAGCCAGGAAAACUAACAAAAUCCCAGCUUUUGCAAAGAUACAUGUGCAUAUUGUACAUAGAAAAAGAAAGUGUUUAGCCGAUCACCGCUAGUUCCAAAGAGAAAGUGGGGGGCGGGGCUUGCAGUGUAGACUCUUCCUGGAAGGGGCUCUUUCUUACUUCCAUACAUAUGAAUGUAAGAACCUGGUUGUUUUCGUGAAUUGGGAGGGGCUGGUGCUUCGACCGCAGGUUUUUAGAGGAAUGUUCAGAAAUGCUUGUGUAACCGGGACAGCCUUUAUCUUAUUUUAUAAUAGCACAAAAUCUGUUCAAGGGUUACCAUACCUGAGGGAUCUCCAACAAACUACUGCAUUACACUACUAGUCAUAGCCCCUCCUUCCUUUCUUCUUCUUCUUCUUCUACUUCUUUUGACUCCCCUAUAUAUUCCAAAGGCUACUGUUCCCCACCCCCUUUUGUAUGACCUCCUGUCAGAGAGGAACUGGAGUGGGCAGGAUCACACAGUGUAUUGUUUUCUGUUUGUUUUAUUACCAGAAUAAAGGGAGGCUUCUCUCCAAGAGGUAA